rnacentral:rRNA from 1 species
UACAGAGGUGGCAAGCGUUGUUCGGAUUUACUGGGCGUAAAGGGUCCGUAGGCGGUUUGGAAAGUUGAAUGUGAAAUCCCGCAGCUUAACUGCGGAACUGCAUUCAAAACUUCCAGACUAGAGUAUGAGAGGGGUAAAGGGAAUUCCCGGUGUAAGGGUGAAAUCUGCAGAGAUCGGGAGGAACACCAGUCGCGAAGGCGCUUUACUGGCUCAUUACUGACGCUCAGGGACGAAAGCUAGGGUAGCAAACGGGAUUAGAUACCCGUGUAGU